rnacentral:rRNA from 1 species
UACGGGAGGCAGCAGUGGGGAAUAUUGCACAAUGGGCGCAAGCCUGAUGCAGCCAUGCCGCGUGUAUGAAGAAGGCCUUCGGGUUGUAAAGUACUUUCAGUCGUGAGGAAGGUGUUAAGGUUAAUAACCUUAGCAAUUGACGUUAGCGACAGAAGAAGCACCGGCUAACUCCGUGCCAGCAGCCGCGGUAAUACGGAGGGUGCGAGCGUUAAUCGGAAUUACUGGGCGUAAAGGGCACGCAGGCGGUUAAUUAAGUUGGAUGUGAAAUCCCCGGGCUUAACCUGGGAAUGGCAUUCAAGACUGGUUAGCUAGAGUCUUGUAGAGGGGGUGAAUUCCAUGUGUAGCGGUGAAAUGCGUAGAGAUGUGGAGGAAUACCGGUGGCGAAGGCGGCCCCUGGGACAAAGACUGACGCUCAUGUGCGAAAGCGUGGGGAGCGAAACAGGGAUUAGAUACC